AUGGACAUUGACUGACUGUUUCUUCUCAG
rnacentral:piRNA from 1 species